GAUGAACGCUGGCGGCGUGCCUAAUACAUGCAAGUCGAGCGAACAGAUGAGGAGCUUGCUCCUCUGACGUUAGCGGCGGACGGGUGAGUAACACGUGGAUAACCUACCUAUAAGACUGGGAUAACUUCGGGAAACCGGAGCUAAUACCGGAUAAUAUAUUGAACCGCAUGGUUCAAUAGUGAAAGACGGUUUUGCUGUCACUUAUAGAUGGAUCCGCGCCGCAUUAGCUAGUUGGUAAGGUAUCGGCUUACCAAGGCGACGAUGCGUAGCCGACCUGAGAGGGUGAUCGGCCACACUGGAACUGAGACACGGUCCAGACUCCUACGGGAGGCAGCAGUAGGGAAUCUUCCGCAAAGGGCGAAAGCCUGACGGAGCAACGCCGCGUGAGUGAUGAAGGUCUUCGGAUCGUAAAACUCUGUUAUUAGGGAAGAACAAAUGUGUAAGUAACUAUGCACGUCUUGACGGUACCUAAUCAGAAAGCCACGGCUAACUACGUG
rnacentral:rRNA from 1 species